rnacentral:rRNA from 1 species
GAUGAACGCUGGCGGCGUGCCUAAUACAUGCAAGUCGAGCGAACAGACGAGGAGCUUGCUCCUUUGACGUUAGCGGCGGACGGGUGAGUAACACGUAGGUAACCUACCUAUAAGACUGGGAUAACUUCGGGAAACCGGAGCUAAUACCGGAUAAUAUUUCGACCCGCAUGGUUCGAUAGUGAAAGAUGGCUUUGCUAUCACUUAUAGAUGGACCUGCGCCGUAUUAGCUAGUUGGUAAGGUAACGGCUUACCAAGGCAACGAUACGUAGCCGACCUGAGAGGGUGAUCGCCCACACUGGAACUGAGACACGGUCCAGACUCCUGCGGGAGGAAGCAGUAGGGAAUCUUCCGCAAUGGGCGAAAGCCUGACGGAGCAACGCCGCGUGAGUGAUGAAGGUCUUCGGAUCGUAAAACUCUGUUAGUAGGGAAGAACAAACGUGUAAGUAACUGUGCAUGUCUUGACGGUACCUAAUCAGAAAGCCACGGCUAACUACGUG